rnacentral:misc_RNA from 1 species
UAAAUUCUAGCUAACACUACUGUGAGAACAAGCGAUCAUGUGGAAAAACUUGUAUAAAGCUACAGCGAGAGUAUAGAAAUCCAUCUAGGCUAGCUCCGCAAUCUUUUUCUUCGAUUACCCUCUUCACUUACUCCCCCUUGUUCAUCCUGGUCAAAACUUUCGGAGGGAACAACAUUAGUUUCGGUCCUGCAUUUAGCAUGCACUAUGGGCCCUAACUGAGAUCUAUCCAUGCCGGCUGUUUGUCCAUCAGGUGCAUUCAUGUAGACAGCGCCCCGAUACAUCCACUCCUCUGUUUCAUCACUGUAAAAAUCCUCAAAAGGUUCUCCACAUAAUGCACACGUCUUCUGAUCCUCGUCAGCGGGAACAGCCAGUUCUUCAUCAUCUUUUUUCUCUACAAUGACCUCAGCAGGCG